rnacentral:SRP_RNA from 1 species
GCUGGGCAUUGUGGCGGGCGCCUGUGGUCCCAGCUACUUGGGAGGCGGAGGCAGGAGACUCGCUUGAGCCCAGGAGUUGGAGGUUGCUGUGAGCUGUGAUGCCACAGCACUCUACCCAGGGGGACAGCUUGAGACUCUGUCUCAAAAAAAUAUAUAUAUAUUUAUGCUAUACUUUUUUUUUUUUUCUGAGACAGAGCCUCAAGCUAUUCCCCUGGGUAGAGUGCUGUGGCAUCACAGCUCACAGCAACCUCCAACUCCUGGGCUCAAGCGAGUCUCCUGCC